AUAAGAAACACCCACACAAUCUCCAUAGAGGAGGUAGACACAUCCCGCAGGGGCGAUUGACAAACAAAAUGGUGAACAUCAAACUCAACAUCAUGACCCAAGUUAGCAAGAAAAUCUGCUAUCACAUUCCCUUCUCUCCUUGUGUGGGUGAAUUUAAUCUCCCAGAAUUUGUCCUUCCAAGCUUGGAUAGCUUUCACAAAAGCCCCAUAGGGAUGUCUAGGGUCGCAGCCUUUGGUGAUGAGAUUAAUGGCUGUCGCUGAGUCGCUUUCCAUAAUGAUUCCGCGAGAAGCCAUGAAGCCAUCUUCUCGUUUCAUCAUUCUGAAAGGUACUUUUUUCAUUGCCCAAACUAAUCCGGAAUGUGAUGCUAGUAGCUCAUUCUCACGACUCAUUCGUUCCUUCCUUCAACCUCGCCUAUCUGUCUCUCACUCUCAUCCACCGUGAAGAUCCAACAGAGGCGCGUCAUUGGGGUGGAGAAAACAAAGCAUGAGGAGAAACAAAGAGGCUGCAGAGAGGGCAUUCAUGCGGGGGAGCAAAACAGCGUUUAUGAGGGGAAAUACCCUUUUGGUAAAUGGAUCAAGUCCUCAAGCAACGGGGUGGGUGAGGGAACACUCUUUGCCUCAGUUCAUCUUAUCACCCUCAAUCCAACGGCCAAACCGAGUUCACAAACCGAUCCCUGGAAACAUAUCUGAGGUGCUUUGCUGGAGAACAACCUCGUACCUGGUCCUAUUUGUUACCAUAGGCAGAAUUGUGUUAUAAUAUCACUUGGCAUGUGAGUACAAACACAACUCCAUUCGAAGUUGUGUAUAGCCGAAAGCCACCUACCAUCCUCAGCUUUAUGCCUAGUGAGGUUAGAGUUGAGUCAGUAGCAUACGCUUUGGGCGAACGAGAUGAAGCUUUGAAACAACUCCGCCACCACCUCAGCCGUGCCCAGCACGCUAUGAAACGACACGCAGACAAACACCGCAGGAAUGUGGAGUUCCAACCAGUAGAAUCAAUCAGAAGCUUGCUGCUUGCUACUUUGGUUCUUUCCCUAUUGCUUAAAAAAGUCAUUGGCCCUCAAGUGGUGGAACCUCAUUUGCCUCUGGGCAUGGAGGACGAUACUGGCAUUUCACGUGAGCCCGGGACUGUAUUGGCCAUUCGACAACAGCAUCACAAGGGCAGGUCAGGGGAGCAAGUGGUUGGUGCAGUGGAAAGGCUGUAAUCAUUCAAUAUCAGUUUCCUAGUUUCAGUCUUGAGGACAAGCCUGCUUUUCAAGGGGUGGACAAUGAUAGGAAUGCAACCCACGGGGUGGGUGAGGGACCUAGUGUGGUCACUAAUGAAUCAACCCCUUCUCAUACUAGGAAUAGAAUCUGGAAGUUUUACACUAGGAGGACGCGUGGCAAUACUUGACAGGAGGAGAAUAUCCUCUGGCACAUGGGAUGGUGAGUGAAUAGGGAAAAUAACUAACAGGAGAGAGAGAGAGAGUGAGUGGAGAAGGGGGUUAUAGGGAAGGAGAGUGGGAAGAAAGGGUAGCUUGGUUAGUGUUUUUCUACGGCCAAUUUGGCUUGGGCAAGAGAGAGAGAGAGUUCUCUUGUGUAUCUUCUAUUAGCUCUGUAAUCUGCUCUAUAGCAGAGUUUUCUUCUACUUUAAUACAAAUUACUCCUUGAUUCUUAGUCUCUAUUACAAGCAUUCUAUGUGAGCUGUAUUAGAGUUCUUGUCAACUACAGUUACAUGCUUCUGAUGGUUAAAGUGACAA